rnacentral:lncRNA from 1 species
AUGCCCCGCGCCCGGCAUGCCGCCUGCAGCUCCUUGACAUUCAGGCUGUCCACCCUUUCCUCAGGAUCAGCUUGUUGUCGGCCUUUAUGGACCAUAACGCAUGGUGAGCUGGAAGUGCAGGAAGUUGUUGGUGCUGAUGGACUGCAGCUCCAUCGGCUUGUACUCCGCCACCAGCUGCGGCCACAUGAGGUUGUCCAGGGUCAGCUCAUCCUUGAAAAGCUUGGAGAAGUGCAUGAUUUCCUCUUUGCUGGGCUUCUCCCCCAUCUCACGUAUCUUCUGGAAGAACGCAGAGAAGUCCUGGGUGGCGCUGACCUUGACCGCCUUGUUCUUCAGUGCCAUCUCCUCGAUGAUGUCCUGGAGGAACUUGGCCAGCUCCAGCUUGAUUCGCAGCUCCUUCUUCAGCCUCUCUUCCUUGAUGGACUGCGUCUUAAGCGUGGAUGGCAGCAUGUUGGGAAAGAGCUUCACAGCCACAGGCAGCAGGAACUCCAUGAAGGGCACCAGGCGGAAGAGGUCAGCAUAGUUGUGGAGAAACUGCCUAUGCUGCCGGCUGGAGCAUGCGCACAGCGAUCUUGGCGUCAACCCCUGGCAGGCGGAAGCCAUGGUAGUAGCGCUAGAGCUCGUCCUGUACCCUCCGUCUCAGCAGACUUCUUCAGUGCCACCGGGGCCGCCAGGCUCUACAUCCUCCAGCUUUUUGUCCUUGACCUUCAGGGACUGGAGUCAUCGCUGAGAGGGGGCGAUACCGGCCUCCCCGACGAACACACCGGCUGCAGCGGGAGUCCACGGCACUCCUGCCACCAUACACAGGCGCUCAGGCCUCGGCGUCCGGCGGCUGCAGGACUCGGCUCUGAGGCACAGGAAUCUGUUGUGGGCAGUGGAAACGGCUGGGAUUUAUCUUCAGGAUAAUUGAGGGCAAAGGAUAAAAAAUUCCCAAGCUGGUUUAAUCAGAAAGAAGGACAAUGGGAAGGACCCAGUGGGAGCUUGGGGAACCUGUGGAGCUGGGCAUUGGCU